UGGGGAAUUUUGGACAAUGGGCGCAAGCCUGAUCCAGCCAUGCCGCGUGUCUGAAGAAGGCCUUCGGGUUGUAAAGGACUUUUGUCAGGGAAGAAAAGGACAGGGUUAAUACCUCUGUUUGAUGACGGUACCUGAAGAAUAAGCACCGGCUAACUACGUGCCAGCAGCCGCGGUAAUACGUAGGGUGCGAGCGUUAAUCGGAAUUACUGGGCGUAAAGCGAGCGCAGACGGUUACUUAAGCAGGAUGUGAAAUCCCCGGGCUCAACCUGGGAACUGCGUUCUGAACUGGGUGACUAGAGUGUGUCAGAGGGAGGUAGAAUUCCACGUGUAGCAGUGAAAUGCGUAGAGAUGUGGAGGAAUACCGAUGGCGAAGGCAGCCUCCUGGGAUAACACUGACGUUCAUGCUCGAAAGCGUGGGUAGCAAACAGGAUUAGAUACCCUGGUAGUCCACGCCCUAAACGAUGUCAAUUAGCUGUUGGGCAACUUGAUUGCUUAGUAGCGUAGCUACGCGUGAAAUUGACCGCCUGGGGAGUACGGUCGCAAGAU
rnacentral:rRNA from 1 species